rnacentral:rRNA from 1 species
AUUGAACGCUGGCGGCAGGCCUAACACAUGCAAGUCGAGCGGGCGGCGGACGGGUGGAUGAUUUAUGGGGAUCUGCGUGAUGGAGGGGGCUAACUGCUGGAAACCGUAGCUAAUACCGCAUACCAUCAUAUGGACCCAUAUGGGAUUAGCUUGUAGGUGAGGUAACGGCUCACCUAGGCGACGAUCCCUAGCUGGCCUGAGAGGAUGAGCAGCCACACUGGGACUGAGACACGGCCCAGACUCCUACGGGAGGCAGCAGUGGGGAAUAUUGGACAAUGGGCGAAAGUCUGAUGGAGCCACGCCGCGUGUAUGAAGAAGGCUUUCGGGUCGUAAAGCACUGUUAGUAGGGAGGCGGUAUCUAACGAAGAAGCACCGGCUAACUCCGUGCCAGCAGCCGCGGUAAUAC